rnacentral:rRNA from 1 species
CCUACGGGAGGCAGCAGUGAGGAAUAUUGGUCAAUGGACGCAAGUCUGAACCAGCCAUGCCGCGUGCAGGAAGACGGCUCUAUGAGUUGUAAACUGCUUUUGUACGAGGGUAAACGCAGAUACGCGUAUCUGUCUGAAAGUAUCGUACGAAUAAAGAUCGGCGAACUCCGUGCCAGCAGCCGCGGUAAUACGGAGGAUUCAAGCGUUAUCCGGAUUUAGUGGGUUUAAAGGGUGCGUAGGCGGUCGGAUAAGUUAGAGGUGAAAUCCCGAAGCUCAACUUCGGAAUUGCCUUUGAUACUGUUCGGCUAGAGAGUAGUUGCGGUAGGCGGAAUGUAUGGUGUAGCGGUGAAAUGCUUAGAGAUCAUACAGAACACCGAUUGCGAAGGCAGCUUACCAAGCUACUUCUGACGUUGAGGCACGAAAGCGUGGGGAGCAAACAGGAUUAGAUACCCUAGUAGUC